UCGGCGACGAUAAUGGUUGAGGCCCGGACGGGACUUCCUUAUAUGCCCUUUUGGCCGACCAGAAGGAAACCGCUACCUCUUAAUCGUGACCCCGGAAGCUCCGCCUCAGAAAGCCAAUGGGCAGCGCCUAUUGGUCUAAAAUGUCUCCCAGUUUGCACUGCGAAUAUGUGGUUUUGCUGGGACUUCCUCUCGACCAAAAGAUAGACAGCCCCAUGGCUGGUAGAAAAAAAUAUUUAUAGUGGUGAGCGCGGAAUUGGAGUAAUAGUGAGAAGAACAGUCCAGAGUGACUUUCUUGGAAGAAGGGAAGUAAAGACCCAGUGGAAUGAAAGCUCCCCAGAAGACCCAGGAAUGGGAAGGAUGGAUUUGGCUGGCUGCAGAUGUCAGCUACAUCAAAGAUCCUGGAGGGAGCAGCAGGAAUCAGCUGUCAAUAGAGAAGCUGGGGGGAAACUCGGCAGAAGACCCUGAGAGAGGUUCAUCCUCCAAUGGAGAAGUAAUAGAUGUUUCGGCUGUGAGGAGAAUAUUCAAGCCACACUGAACAACUAUAUAAAGUCCAAUCCUUUAUUUUUUACACACACACAUCAAGCCAGAAACUAGAGGGAGAUAUAAAGAAAGAAGGAAGCAGAAGAGAGAGAGGUAGAAGUCACUGGGAGGGACACCUGGGAGGAAACCUGACAUCAGAACGGUGUUGUUUAGUCCUGUUGUAAAUACUUAAUACAAAUAACUAGUAAAAACCAUAAUGUCCAGUAUCACGUGUUACUGUGUCCAUUGCCACCUUUGCAAUAAAUAUACCACCAGUAUUUUUUUUAAAAAAAAAAAAACAACCAUCACACUAUUUUAUUGUUGGCUGUUCACCGCCCUGAGUCCUUCGGGAGUAGGGCGGUAUACAAAUCAAAUAAACUAUAAACUAUAAACUAUAACACUAUGACAUUCAGAUAGAGCACAGUUUAAUCAAAUGCAGGCAGGCUGCUUUCUGAGGCAGCUCCUGCAAUAUUGGUAUUUCAUGGCUAUUAUUAGACUUCACCUGUUACUAGGCAAGCAGGUACCUUUUGAAUCAGGUCUACUUUCUGAUUGGUCCUCAAGGGCAAGCGCCACAUAGAGCCAACUGCAGCAGUUACAAGGUGAGAAAAACAUAAGUGACUAUCAAUAAAGCCUCACAUUUUAGAGACAGCUGCAAUGGCACACUAGCCAAAGUUGGACAAAGUUGGACAAAGGGUAAUAUAGGCGUGACUAUAUUACAGGAUAUUACAGAAGCUAUAAAUUCAGGAAAAACUUUGUGCAACACACUUUCUGUAGUAUAGCUCCAUUUCAAGUUGGAGUCUUGUUAGGAAUAAACCUGAACUUGUGUGUGUGUGUGUGAGAGAGAGAGAGAGAGAGAGAAGAUAUAUCUAUAUAUGUUCGUGUAAAUGUAUAUGUAAAUGUCUAUUCUGAGCCAAAUAAGAUAAUGAAGUAAUCCUAACUUGGUACCUGAAAGCUUUCAGGAAUGAGAAACAACAAGUUCAGGUUUAUUUCUAACAAAAAAUAUACAUGCAUAUAUACAUACAUACAUACAUACAUGCAUACAUACAUACAAAAAAAAUUAUCUUGUGAAAAUGAGACAGCUACAUAUGUUUCUAAGAGCGAUUGUUGUUUUGCCUUUAAACUGAAAGCUAAUAAACUACCUUCUAAAUGUAGGUUUUGUUUUGUAUGAAACCAUCUGUUGAUAAAUCCAGAUGUGCUGACAAUUUGCAAACCAGACUUCCAGCAGCUCUGUAUAAAUUUAGCUCACCUUAAUAAUGUGGUUACAUUUUCUGGAACAGUCUGUUCAAUUUUGAUUCAAUUAAAAACACUGACUUUAAAAUGCAUAAAUAUAUUUGCCAUGUUGAUGUAUUUUUAAUGCAGUUUUGCCUCAUGCAAGGUGAAUUCUAUGAUGAUUGUACUUCUGAUUAUUGGUAAAUUAUAAAAGUAUUUCUAAUCUAACCAAUGCCAAUAAAUUUAUCACUUGCUAUACAACA